rnacentral:rRNA from 1 species
UACGGGGGGAGCAAGCGUUGUUCGGAAUUACUGGGCGUAAAGGGCUCGUAGGCGGCCAACUAAGUCGGACGUGAAAUCCCUCAGCUUAACUGGGGAACUGCGUCCGAUACUGGAUGGCUUGGAUUUGGGAGAGGGAUGCGGAAUUCCAGGUGUAGCGAUGAAAUGCGUAGAUAUCUGGAGGAACACCGGUGGCGAAGGCGGCAUCCUGGACCGGCAUUGACGCUGAGGCGCGAAAGCCAGGGGAGCAAACGGG